GACAGCCCGGGCCCCCUCUUGGCCAAAGAAGUCCUCGAAAGCGUUCGGCGCACGGGCUUUGUCCAGCUUUUUUAACCGUAACAAGGACCGGGGCCGGGCGCGGUGGCUCACGCCUGUAAUCCCAGCAUUUUGGGAAGUCGAGGCGGACGGAUUACUUGAGGUCAUGAGUUCGAGACCAGCCUGGCCAACACGGUGAAACUCUGUCUUUAAAAAAGAAAACAAAAACAAUAACAAGGACCCUAGAACAGCUCUUAGCAAAGAUAUCCAGACGCUGUAUGCAGGAAGAACUGAAUUUGAGAGGACACCGUUUGAUCUUCAACACCUGGCAGUUUACAAAACAGAGACGGGGUGUCGUCAUGUUGCCCAGGCUGGUCUCGAACUCCGGAGCUCAAGCGAUCUGCCUGCCUCGGCCUUUCAAAGUGCUGAGACUACAGGUAUGAGUCACAGUCCCUGGCAAUGAAGGUAUUUUUUACAUGUGAUUAACGUUUAAAUCAGUAGACUCCAG
rnacentral:lncRNA from 1 species